AUUGAACGCUGGCGGCAGGCCUAACACAUGCAAGUCGAACGAGUGGCGGACGGGUGAGUAAUGUCUGGGAAACUGCCUGAUGGAGGGGGAUAACUACUGGAAACGGUAGCUAAUACCGCAUACCAUCAGAUGUGCCCAGAUGGGAUUGGCUAGUUGGAUGGGUAACGGCUCACCAAGGCGACGAGCCCUAGCUGGUCUGUGAGGAUGACCACACACACUGGAACGGUGACACUGUCCAGGAUCCUAGGGGAGGCAGCAGUGGGGAAUAUUGCACAAUGGGCGCAAGCCUGAUGCAGCCAUGCCGCGUGUAUGAAGAAGGCCUUCGGGUUGUAAAGUACUUUCAGCGGGGAGGCGUUACCCGCAGAAGAAGCACCGGCUAACUCCGUGCCAGCAGCCGCGGUAAUUC
rnacentral:rRNA from 1 species